AUAGUGGUUGUGUCAGAGGAAAGAAGUGGGACAUAUAAGAGGGGCAUUAUGAAGACAAAAUUUAUAACCUGGUAACAUUGGAUUUGGAGGUGUUGAGAGAAAGAGUAAAAAGUCAGCCUGAGUAACUAAGAACAUGGAGAAACUGGUAUAAAGGAGAAGAGAAUUAAGAUGGUAUCAGAGUUUCAAGAAACAGAGAAGAGGAGGGAGCCCCUGGCAAAUGGUCAGUCUUCUCAGGAAAGUAUGAGGUGAGGUGCUCACCUGAAUGAAAGGCGAAGGGAGGGGAAAGUUCAAAGAGCAAAGAGAAGUUUUGAACAUCCUCUAAUAGAGGACUGAAGAGAGAAUCAAGUAGGGAAGAAUAAAAGGAACAUCCAUGACA